rnacentral:rRNA from 1 species
UACGAAGGGGGCGAGCGUUAUUCGGAAUCACUGGGCGUAAAGCGUGCGUAGGCUGUUUGACAAGUUGGAAGUGAAAGCCCAGGGCUCAACCCUGGAAUUGCUUUCAAAACUGUCAGACUCGAAUCUCGGAGAGGAUAGCGGAAUUUCCAGUGUAGUAGUGAAAUACGUAGAUAUUGGAAGGAACACCAGUGGCGAAAGCGGCUAUCUGGACGAGUAUUGACGCUGAGGCACGAAAGCGUGGGGAUCAAACAGG